rnacentral:rRNA from 1 species
CAAAGGCAUGGUCCCGACCUUAUUAUCAGCUCUAACUCAACUUACACAUGCAAGUCUCCGCAACCCAGUGAAUAUGCCCUCAAUCCCCCCACCCGGGGACGAGGAGCGGGCAUCAGGCACAAACAUUAGCCCAAGACGCCUAGCCAAGCCACACCCCCAAGGGAAUUCAGCAGUGAUAAACAUUAAGCCAUAAGUGAAAACUUGACUCAGUUAGUGUUAAGAGGGCCGGUAAAACUCGUGCCAGCCACCGCGGUUAGACGAGAGGCCCUAGUUGAUAUUACAACGGCGUAAAGGGUGGUUAAGGAUAAACAAAAAUAAAGUCAAAUGGCCCCUUGGCCGUCAUACGCUUCUAGGAGUCCGAAGCCCUAAUACGAAAGUAACUUAAUAAACCCACC